AACGAACGCUGGCGGCAUGCCUAACACAUGCAAGUCGAACGGGAUCCUAGCUUGCUAGGUGAGAGUGGCGGACGGGUGAGUAACACGUGGGAAUCUGCCUUUUGGUUCGGGAUAACCGCGGGAAACUGCGGCUAAUACCGAAUGCCCUCGUGAGAGGAAAGAUUUAUCGCCAGAAGAGGAGCCCGCGUCCGAUUAGGUAGUUGGUGGGGUAAAGGCCUACCAAGCCGACGAUCGGUAGCUGGUCUGAGAGGAUGAUCAGCCACACUGGGACUGAGAUACGGCCCAGACUCCUACGGGAGGCAGCAGUGGGGAAUAUUGGACAGUGGGGGCAACCCUGAUCCAGCAAUGCCGCGUGAGUGAUGAAGGCCUUAGGGUUGUAAAGCUCUUUUGCCAGGGAAGAUGAUGACUGUACCUGGAGAAUAAGCCCCGGCUAACUUCGUGCCAGCAGCCGCCCGGUAAU
rnacentral:rRNA from 1 species